ACCCUCUCAGGAUCACACCUGAAGAGUUUCCAGUACUCUACCAGUCUUGGCUAUGGGAGGGAGAGUCAAGGCAAGCAUAGGUACUUCCUUUCCUAGCUUGAGCAGUGGCUAGAGAGUGGAAGGCAAUCUGCUAUAAGU